GUCGUGCGGCCCCGGCAAUUAUUCCGCACGGCCGGGGCUGCAACACUUGGCGGCAGGCACCCAGUCACAGGGAUCCGCAGGGCGGCCGGGCCCCCUGGAGUGAAGGGCCCGGUCGCAGCUGCGACCCCUGUGACCACGGUAUGGACCGCGCUGAUCUUUAUUGGUAUUCAUUUCUUGCUCCCGUUCUUCCUGUCUUCUGUGAUCUUUUGCCCUCGGCUUGUUUAAU